ACACUGGAACAGACUUCCUGAUUCACAUCAACCAGCCAGGCCUGAUCCUUUCAUUACAAGGUAAUGCAUUUUGUAGAUUGAGUAGGAAACUAAAUAGGCAACCCUCUUUAGGGAUGUAGAUAUCUCUGCUUCAGAAAAUGUUUAUUGAUUCUUUAGGUUCAGAACAACAUUAAUCAUGCAAAAAGCCAAAGACCCGAGACUCAGAAUCUGGUAUCAGGAGACAGGGGAGCUGCUUUUCUUUUCACAGUAAGACUUAUGUCAACACAUUUCUGAAAAUGAAUCAAUAGUCAAAUAACUCAAGUGACAGAUUGAUCAUUCUGGCAGAGAACAAAGUCUAUAAGAUGUCAUACAAUCAAAACAGCAACAACACGUAAGGCAUUUUAUUUGACAUUACUCAAAAUUCUACUGAUCCUAUCACAUUUAAUACGUCUUUUUCCAUCAGCCUCUGGAGAUAGGAAGAUAAAAGUAACAGUGAGAUGAAAUGUAGCCAUUACAUUAGAAAUAUGAACUUGCAGGGUGCUUAACGCUAUUUCAAAUACCACUUUAAAACAAAAAAUAAGGUUACACAUUCCAUAUCCGUUUAAAGUAGACUAUGUAAUAUGUUAUUUGUAAGGUCUUUAAUAGAUUAUAAAACACUUUUUAAGUAUCAUUUCAAUUAAAAUUUGACUUUAUUUUAGCUGUUUUUUCUUUAAAAAUUUUUUUAAAUGAAAUUUUAGCCUUGCAAUUUUUCUCCUAUAAAAUGGGCUGUUUUUUACUUGCUCAUCAAUACAAUAUUUCUUUUCUCAUUUUUAGUUCUUUGUAGGUUGAACCUUGCUGUGGAAGCCCGAGAGCUUUUAACAAAAGAGCUUGGGGGAAGAUAGGUCAGAGUUCAAAUUCCUAUGUCUGCCUUUUAUUGGCUGUUUGACCUGGGCUGGUCUUCUGGUCUCUUGAAAUCUGCAUUGAAGCACAAAAGGGUAUCAGAAGAGUCUGUUAAAAUGAUUGUAAGGCAAGGAUGAGUUAUAUGCUUGGCAUGUAGUCAGCACUCAUGAUAUUAUUGAAUAUUAUGAUCAAUAUCAUUACUACUAUUACUCCUAUAUGAAAGCUGUCUGUUAUUCAGUAUUUUUCUCUAGAAAUCUCUAUCACAGGAAAACAAUGCAAUCCGUAAAAUAAGUGUUCAAAAUAAUGAUCAUAAGGCAUUCAAAAAUCCUGAAUUCUUGAAUUAUCAAAGAAAAGUUAUGUUUUGGCAGUGUAGCUUGAAUGAUAUGUAUAUUAUAGUAUACUGUAAUUCUUAUAUGUUUAUAUAUACUGACCCUCGAUGUAUGUAUUACUUCACUGCAAUAUUCAAUUAAUCAACACUUGACUAGGCUGCAUAAUUUAAAUUUUUUUAAAUUUCAAUAACUUUUAGGGUACAAGUGGUUUUUGGUUACAUGGAUGUGUUGUAUAGUGGUGAAGUCUGAGAUUUUAGUGUACUGAUCACCUGAAUAGUGUCCAUUAUACCCAAUAUGUAGUUUUUUAUGCCUUGCUCCUCUCCUACCUGUCCCCUCUUCUUAGUCUUCAAAGUCCACUGUACUGCUCUGUAUGCUCCAAAGCUUAGCUCCCACUUAUAAGUAAGAACAUAUGGUAUUUGGUUUUCCAUUCUUGAGUUACUUCACUUAGAAUAAUGGCCUCAACUCCAUCCAAGUUCCUGCAAAAGGCCAUUAUUUUAUUCUUUUUUAUGGCUGAGUAGUAUUCCAUAGUGUGUAUAUAGACCCACUAUAUAUAUAUAUGUAUACACACAC
rnacentral:lncRNA from 1 species